rnacentral:rRNA from 1 species
GGUUAAGCGACUAAGCGUACACGGUGGAUGCCUAGGCAAUCAGAGGCGAUGAAGGACGUGCUAAUCUGCGAUAAGCGUCGGUAAGGUGAUAUGAACCGUUACAACCGACGAUUUCCGAAUGGGGAAACCCAGUGCAAUYCGUUGCACUAUCGUUUGAUGAAUACAUAGUCAAACGAAGCGAACCGGGGGAACUGAAACAUCUCAGUACCCCGAGGAAAAGAAAUCAACCGAGAUUCCCCUAGUAGCGGCGAGCGAACGGGGAGCAGCCCAGAGUCUUAAUCAGCAUUAGCAUCAGGAGAACGGUCUGGAAAGUCCGGCAGUAAAGGGUGAUAGCCCCGUAUCCGAAGGUGUUAGUGUUGUGAACUCGACGAGUAGGGCGGGACACGUGUUAUCCUGUCUGAAUAUGGGGGGACCAUCCUCCAAGGCUAAAUACUCCUGAUUGACCGAUAGUGAACCAGUACCGUGAGGGAAAGGCGAAAAGAACCCCGGCGAGGGGAGUGAAAUAGAACCUGAAACCGUGUACGUACAAGCAGUGGGAGCCCCAUCACUCAAGUGCCUCGGCAAUUGAGUGAUGGUGUAAAACCAUCACAAUAACAGCGCAGGAUUUGCCAACAAGAUUGGCUGAUUUUUUCAAGCCGCAGCGCAGUGGACAUCGAAGUCCAUGAGCAGCGGAAGUUAAAAAAUCGGGCAAGAUUGGCCGCAAAGCCAAGCGGGACAUUUGAGGAUGGGGUGACUGCGUACCUUUUGUAUAAUGGGUCAGCGACUUAUAUUCUGUAGCAAGGUUAACCGUAUAGGGGAGCCGUAGGGAAACCGAGUCUUAACUGGGCGAAUAAGUUGCAGGGUAUAGACCCGAAACCCGGUGAUCUAGCCAUGGGCAGGUUGAAGGUUGGGUAACACUAACUGGAGGACCGAACCGACUAAUGUUGAAAAAUUAG